rnacentral:rRNA from 1 species
UGGGGAAUAUUGCACAAUGGGCGCAAGCCUGAUGCAGCGACGCCGCGUGGGGGAUGACGGCCUUCGGGUUGUAAACUCCUUUCGCUAUCGACGAAGCCACUUGUGGUGACGGUAGGUAGAUAAGAAGCACCGGCUAACUACGUGCCAGCAGCCGCGGUAAUACGUAGGGUGCAAGCGUUGUCCGGAAUUACUGGGCGUAAAGAGCUCGUAGGUGGUUUGUCGCGUCGUCUGUGAAAUCCCGGGGCUUAACUUCGGGCGUGCAGGCGAUACGGGCAUAACUUGAGUGCUGUAGGGGAGACUGGAAUUCCUGGUGUAGCGGUGAAAUGCGCAGAUAUCAGGAGGAACACCGAUGGCGAAGGCAGGUCUCUGGGCAGUAACUGACGCUGAGGAGCGAAAGCAUGGGUAGCGAACAGGAUUAGAUACCC